GCAACUAUGAAAUGCGGAAUGUAAUUGAUAUGAUGGAUAAACUACUAAAUAAGGAGUAUCCUCUGGCGCUCCCAGGAAUACCUGGUGAUAUUUAUAACCCUGAAGUAGGACCAGUGGCUGCGCGUGGAAGGAUCCAGCGUCGUUUCCUCCUGUUCUCCUUUCCUCUCAAGAUCAACACCUGUUUCUUGCUUUGACUGCUGGGAAGACUGGGGUGGGGAGGGGCGGAUGUGUGGGGACGUGGACAAUAGUGCCUUCACCCCAGGAAGAUCGCCCUUCUAAAGCCAAAAAGCGUGUUUUAAUUUCAAAUACUUUAAAGC
rnacentral:lncRNA from 1 species